rnacentral:rRNA from 1 species
UACGUAGGGUGCGAGCGUUGUCCGGAAUUAUUGGGCGUAAAGAGCUCGUAGGCGGUUUGUCGCGUCGGCCGUGAAAACUUGGGGCUUAACCCCAAGCUUGCGGUCGAUACGGGCAGACUUGAGUUCGGCAGGGGAGACUGGAAUUCCUGGUGUAGCGGUGAAAUGCGCAGAUAUCAGGAGGAACACCGGUGGCGAAGGCGGGUCUCUGGGCCGAUACUGACGCUGAGGAGCGAAAGCGUGGGGAGCAAACAGG